AACGCACAUUGCGCCCCUUAGUAUUCCGGGGGGCAUGCCUGUUCGAGCGUCAUUACAACCCUCAAGCUCUGCUUAGUCUUAGGCGUCACCGGUCCCUAGUGUGCCUUAAAAUCAGUGGCGGCGCCAUCUAGCUCUAAGCGUAGUACACACUCUCGCUAUAGACGCCUAGUGGAUGCUAGCUAGCAACCCCUAUUUCUUAAGGUUGACCUUAGAUUAGGUAGGGAUACCCGCUAAACUUAA
rnacentral:misc_RNA from 1 species